AGUUAGUGACUCGUACCCAUAGAUAUCUUAUAUAUACUAGAUAGCCCAUCUCUUUUAGUAAAAUUGAAGCCAAGAAUAUUCCAGCGGUUACCCCCAUUUGAAUAGAUGGCGGCCAUGUUGGAGUUUCCCACUCACUAAUAAACGCUUAAAAAACAACAAUAACUUUCAUCAUUUGAAUAGUUUGAAAAUGUAUCUUAGAAUAGGUUUAACUUAAUGUUUAAGUUCCCUGUUUAAGAAAUAGAAAACAUACGAGUCUUCUCAUUUCAUGGGAAUAUCCUGAGUCUGCAAUCACGGCUUCAAUUUUCGAAUUGCAGAAUAAUUAGAUGCACUAUCCAGUGUAUAUAAGAUAUCUAUGCUCGUACCCCGUAUUUCAUAAUGUAUCAUUUAUAGCUUGGACGACUGCCUGCGAGUCAGGUACAGUAGAUGUCUCUUAUUACUAGUUCCAAAUCAUUAUUAUUAUUAAAAACAUUUUCUCUUAGAUAUGGCGUUUUAUGGCGAAGCAGGUAUCACGUUUGGCC